UUUAUGUGUUUUCCUUUCAAGUCAAUUUCCAUUUUAACUCCUAAUCUUAAUUAAUAAAGAUCUUCCAUAUUUCUUCUCAAGCCUAUGAAGAAAAUGUGGCUCUAUAUGUAA
rnacentral:rRNA from 1 species